UUACCGUGAAAAAAUUAGAGUGUUCAAAGCAGGCAGAUCCAAUUUUCUGCCACCGAAUACAUUAGCAUGGGAUAAUGGAAUAGGACCCUGUCCUCCUAUUUUCAGUUGGUUUUGGCAGCGCGAGGACUAGGGUAAUGAUUAAUAGGGAUAGUUGGGGGCAUUAAUAUUUAAUUGUCAGAGGUGAAAUUCUUGGAUUUAUGAAAGAUUAACUUCUGCGAAAGCAUCUGCCAAGGAUGUUUUCAUUAAUCAAGAACGAAAGUUAGGGGAUCGAAGACGAUCAGAUACCGUCGUAGUCUUAACCAUAAACGAUGCCGACCAGCGAUUAGGAGACGUUGAAUACAAAACACCACCAUCGGUGCGGUCGUCCUUGGCGGUUGGUCUUCAAAAGCCAGCGGCGGGGGUGGCUUAGCCCGGUGGCACCGGUGAAUGACUCCCUA
rnacentral:rRNA from 1 species